GAUGAAGAACGUAGCAAAAUGCGAUAAGUAAUGCGAAUUGCAGAAUUUCCGUGAGUCAUCGAAUCUUUGAACGCACAUUGCGCCCCUUGGUAUUCCAUGGGGCAUGCCUGUUCGAGCGUCAUUUGUACCCUCAAGCUAUGCUUGGUGUUGGGUGUUUGUCCUCUCCAUUGCGAUUGGACUCGCCUCAAAGACAUUGGCAGCCAGUGUAUUGGUCUUGAAGCGCAGCACAUUUUGCGAUUCUUGCUGAUACUCACUAGCAUCCAGUAAGCCUCUUUAACACUUUUGACCUCGGAUCAGGUAGGGAUACCCGCUGAACUUAAGCAUAUCAAUAAGCGGAGGA
rnacentral:misc_RNA from 1 species